rnacentral:rRNA from 1 species
AUUGAACGCUGGCGGCAGGCCUAACACAUGCAAGUCGAGCGGAGCGGUGGACGGGUGAGUAAUGCCUAUGAAUCUGCCUGGUCUCGGGGGAUAAAGUUCGGAAACGGGCGCUAAUACCGCUAACUUUCAGAAGAGCAUAGGUCGGAGUAGCUUGUUGGUGGGGUAAAGGCCAACCAAGGCGACGAUCCGUAACUGGUCUGAGAGGAUGAUCAGUCACACUGGAACUGAGACACGGUCCAUACUCCUACGGGAGGCAGCAGUGGGGAAUAUGGGACAAUGGGCUAAAGCCUGAUCCAGCCAUGCCGCGUGUGUGAAGAAGGUCUUCGGAUUGUAAAGCACUUUAAGUUGGGAGGCGUUACCAACAGAAUAAGCACCGGCUAACUUCGUGCCAGCAGCCGCGGUAAUUC